UGUGAAUUCAUGGCAAAAUGCAUGGUGCAUU
rnacentral:piRNA from 1 species